rnacentral:rRNA from 1 species
AUUGAACGCUGGCGGCAGGCCUAACACAUGCAAGUCGAGCGAGCGGCGGAAGGGUGAGUAAUGCCUGGGAAUUGCCCAGUCGGGGGGGAUAACAGUUGGACACGACUUCUAAUACCGCAUACGAUUGGAUUGCUCAGGUGGGUGUGGCUGGUUGGUGAGGUAAUGGCUCACCAAGGCGACGAUCCCUAGCUGGUCUGAGAGGAUGAUCAGCCACACGGGAGAUGAGACACGGUCCAGACUCCGACGGGAGGCAGCAGUGGGGAAUAUUGCGCAAGGGGGGAAACCCUGAAUCAGCCAUGGCGCGUGAGUGAAGAAGGCCUUCGGGUUGUAAAGCACUUUCAGCGAGGAGGCGGUACUCGAAGAAGAAGCACCGGCUAACUCCGUGCCAGCAGCCGCGGUAAUUC